GCCCAGGUGACGCAAUUGGUAGACGUUCCGGUCUCAGAAGCCGGCUGUUGUGGGUUCGAAUCCCACCCUGGGCACCA
rnacentral:tRNA from 1 species